rnacentral:rRNA from 1 species
UACGAAGGGGGCUAGCGUUGCUCGGAAUCACUGGGCGUAAAGGGUGCGUAGGCGGGUCUUUAAGUCAGAGGUGAAAUCCUGGAGCUCAACUCCAGAACUGCCUUUGAUACUGAGGAUCUUGAGUCCGGGAGAGGUGAGUGGAACUGCGAGUGUAGAGGUGAAAUUCGUAGAUAUUCGCAAGAACACCAGUGGCGAAGGCGGCUCGCUAAACUGUAACUGACGCUGAGGCACGAAAGCGUGGGGAUCAAACAGG